rnacentral:rRNA from 1 species
UCGACGAACACUACCGACGGAACUUUUCGGAGGGAAGAUGGUCAUGACUGAGUGGCGGACGGGUGAGUAACGCGUGGGCAACCUGCCCCAUAGAGGGGGACAACAGCUGGAAACGGCUGCUAAUACCGCAUAACAAGGAGAGAGCGCAUGUUCUUUUCUUCAAAGAUUUAUCGCUAUGGGAUGGACCCGCGUCUGAUUAGCUGGUUGGUGAGGUAACGGCUCACCAAGGCGACGAUCAGUAGCCGGCUUGAGAGAGUGGACGGCCACAUUGGGACUGAGACACGGCCCAGACUCCUACGGGAGGCAGCAGUGGGGAAUAUUGCACAAUGGGGGAAACCCUGAUGCAGCGACGCCGCGUGAGUGAAGAAGUAUUUCGGUAUGUAAAGCUCUAUCAGCAGGGAAGAUAAUGACGGUACCUGACUAAGAAGCCCCGGCUAACUACGUGCCAGCAGCCGCGGUAAUACGUAGGGGGCAAGCGUUAUCCGGAUUUACUGGGUGUAAAGGGAGCGUAGGUGGCAGGGCAAGUCAGAUGUGAAAACCCGGGGCUCAACCCCGGGAGUGCAUUUGAAACUGUCCAGCUGGAGUGCAGGAGAGGUAAGUGGAAUUCCUAGUGUAGCGGUGAAAUGCGUAGAUAUUAGGAGGAACACCAGUGGCGAAGGCGGCUUACUGGACCGUAACUGACGUUGAGGCUCGAAAGCGUGNGGAGCAAACAGGAUUAGAUACCCUGGNAGUCCACGCCGUAAACGAUGAUUACUAGGUGUC